rnacentral:rRNA from 1 species
AUGAAAACAACAAAAUCUACAAUACACAUACAUAUGUUGCGACAUGGUGAUGUUUCGUGGCGUGUGCAUCGUACCUUUGAGACAUACGAACUACUUGAUUUGCGAUGGGAACCAAAUGUUGAGCUGGCUGACAAUAAGAUUUAUAUAGCAACUGCCUAUGAUGACAUUGUUGUCUUUGAUUUGACGGCCUCAAGUAUCUCCAGGAUUCAGCUCCCACAAGGGGUGGAGUAUGGCAAUAGAGACACCAGGCUGAUACGUGCUGAUGAUGCUUCUGGUAUGUAUCUCAUCCAUGCCAAAAAGCUUCAACUUUGCAUCUGGCUCCACAAGGGGGACUCUUGGUUGUUGGUGCACAACAUUUGUUUGCGUGAGAUGGUUGCUCAUUCGACGAUGUCAAAUUGUGAUGCCGAGGACAAGUCUACUACUACACUCCAGAUAAACCACGUGGGAGAUUAUGCCGAGUUUGUGUUCUUGGAGAUAGGUCGAUGUGCAUUCCACUUGGAUAUCAAGUACAAGAGACUGGUUAAAGUGUAUGACAUGGAAGAAAAAGAUCAAUGUUUGGGUGCUAUCCAUCCUUUUAUGAUGACCUGGCCUCCCACAUUUCCUACGCUCAAGGAUGAUCAUGCAAGAAAUGACAUAUGA